AACUGCGAAUGGCUCAUUAAAUCAGUUAUCGUUUAUUUGAUAGUACCUUACUACUUGGAUACCCGUGGUAAUUCUAGAGCUAAUACAUGCUAAAAACCCCAACUUCGGGAGGGGUGUGUUUAUUAGAUAAAAAACCAACGCCCUUCGGGGCUCCUUGGUGAUUCAUGAUAACCUCUCAGAUCGCACGGCCUUGCGCCGGCGACGGUUCAUUCAAAUUUCUGCCCUAUCAACUUUCGAUGGUAAGGUAUUGGCUUACCAUGGUUUCAACGGGUAACGGGGAAUUAGGGUUCGAUUCCGGAGAGUGAGCCUGAGAAACGGCUCACACAUCCAAGGAAGGCAGCAGGCGCGCAAAUUACCCAAUCCCGACACGGGGAGGUAGUGACAAUAAAUACUGAUACAGGGCUCUUUUGGGUCUUGUAAUUGGAAUGAGUACAAUUUAAACCUCUUAACGAGGAACAAUUGGAGGGCAAGUCUGGUGCCAGCAGCCGCGGUAAUUCCAGCUCCAAUAGCGUAUAUUAAAGUUGUUGCAGUUAAAAAGCUCGUAGUUGAAUCUUUGGCCUGGCUGGCGGGUCCGCCUCACCGCGUGCACUUGUCCGGCCGGGCCUUCUCUUCUGGAGAACCGCAUGCCCUUCACUGGGCGUGUUGGGGACCAGGACUUUUACUUUGAAAAAAUUAGAGUGUUCAAAGCAGGCCUUUGCUCGAAUACGUUAGCAUGGAAUAAUAGAAUAGGACGUGCGGUCCUAUUUUGUUGGUUUCUAGGACCGCCGUAAUGAUUAAUAGGGACAGUCGGGGGCAUCAGUAUUCAAUUGUCAGAGGUGAAAUUCUUGGAUUUAUUGAAGACUAACUACUGCGAAAGCAUUUGCCAAGGAUGUUUUCAUUAAUCAGUGAACGAAAGUUAGGGGAUCGAAGACGAUCAGAUACCGUCGUAGUCUUAACCAUAAACUAUGCCGACUAGGGAUCGGGCGGUGUUAUCGAUUUGACCCGCUCGGCACCUUGCGAGAAAUCAAAG
rnacentral:rRNA from 1 species